GUUAAUAGUGGUGCCACCCUGGACAUGCACAAUUUCAUCUGAUUUUGGCUGCCAAGCAGAGUUGGGCCCACCAGGUCCUUGGAUGGGACUCCACCUUGGACAAUUAAUUGCUGUAAUUU
ensembl:rRNA 5S_rRNA 5S ribosomal RNA